GGCGCUGCUGCAUGGCAGGCUUGCUGGGCGCUGAUGCCUGGCAGCGUUGCUGGGCACUGAUGCCUAGCAUGCUUGUUGGGCGCUGAUGCCUACAACUCGCACCAGCACACGUUAGGCCUAGCCCUAGCUUGGAGGGCGGCGAUUUUGACUUAGGCCAACCCAUGGUGGGCGAUAAUCUUCUUGUGCAUUGUAGCCCCUUAUCUUUAUGGGCGAUGAUUCAACCCUCGGCCAAUGGCUUUGGACUUUUUUGAUCGCGUUUGCACGUCUUUGCAACUCAUAAAAGAGGUCGUUUUGGCGCUCAGGUGUCAUGUGGGUGAUGGAGUGUCUCGAGAACCAUAUAUUAUUUUUAAGAAUGCUUAAAAAUGACCCAUCUCGUCACCCACGGAAAGCAAUGUUGUCCGUUAUUUAGUAAAUUUUGACGAAUACUUCGGGAGGCCAUAACUUGGUCCCUGGGUGUCCGAAUCGAACAAACUUUUUUUUUUAACUUGUGUAUUUUUCCGAGCUUCACGUGAUGCCGAAGUUCCAAAGAAGCUUCGGCCCACAAAAUUGCGAAAAAAGUCCUCUAGCAUGGUAAAAAUGCCAUUUUUUCGAUUACGUCUCAUUUUUAGGCCUACCUUGGAAUGGUACGGGCUUGGACCACCCCAUAAUGAGCCCCUAUGACGGGCGAUGAUAUAAUUGAUGCUUUCUAAGAGCCCCUUGGGGGGCGAUGAUAAGUAUACAUACUCUUCUGCAUGAGUAACAAGUGUCUUGUGACACCCUUCCCUAUGUGACACCCUUCCUUCGCAUGAGUAACAAGUGUCCUUUGGCUCAUUUCGAGGCAAAUGUUUCUCUUUAUAUAGCCACAUAAACACACAUUUCUCAUUCACAAUUUCAUUCGCAAAAGAUUUCUAGUGAGAGAAAGUAGUGAUAAAAGUUAGUGUGAGAAAGCGUUUGCAACACUGUUUGGCGGAAGGAAGCUUGUGCGCUCUUGUUCGGAGGUAGUCGAGGCGGUGAUCAUGAUUUAGCAUCAGCAGGAGCUUCAUUUAGCUGUAAGACACUACACUUUAAGGUUUUAAUGGGAAAAUCAUGAAGCCAUGUCAUUUUGAAGAUGAAGAAUGGUGAAAAAAUAAUUAGAAAAGGAAAAGAGACGAAGAAGACAAGAAGUUGAAGAAGGAAGCCAUUUGAGCUCAUAAAAAUGGUGAAAGAAAGUAAUGGGUGAAAAAGAGAGGAGAAGACAGUCAAAAUAGAGAUAAGAAUUAAAAAAAAAAAAAAAGUACUAUACAGCUGUACUACUAACUUUUGUUUAUAAGAUAAGUAAUUUAGUAAAGGGACUUUAUCUUGUUUGUAACUUGCUA